ACCCCAUCACAAGAGUGGUGCUUGGUUUGUAGGCAGUGUAGUUAGCUGAUUGUAACCACUGCUCCGCAAUCACUACACUCACUGCCAUCAAAACAAGGCACAGGAUUCCCUGCUGCAAC
rnacentral:precursor_RNA from 10 species